GUGGGUCUGGGCCAUCUCCUGGGCUGACCCGGGAAGCUCUGGCCACCCGGAGCCUGUCUCGGCAUUUGUACGGGGGAUAAAGAGACGCUUCCUCCAAGGCUGUUUUCUGAAUUCAGCAGUGCUCAGGGCAGCUGCGAUGGAGUCAGCAGCUACACCAGGACCCUUCUGAGCACCCUGACUCACUGGCUCUGCGGACAACGGGCCGUGUAGGCCGGGACUCCUUCCUCUGAACACUGGCCUGCCCUGGGGCCUCCAGCUUUCCUCAAGGGGCUUCUCAGGUGAAGGCAAGAAAAGCGACAGCAUUGAACUGGAACCCUGUGAGUGCCAGGAGCUUCAGGGGAGGCCUGAGCACCACUGAAGGUGCAGGGAGUGAAGGUGCCAGCACCGCUCUCCAUGGAGGCCACCGAUCGUCCCACCAACAGGAGACGACCUCAAGACUCCUCCCCGGUGUCCUGUCCACCUGCCUCCAGCCGCCCGAGAUGGGCUCUUCCCUGAGGUUUCUGAAGGGACCAGCUUCCAACUGCACACACUGAGUGGGUGCACAAGACUCCCCGACCCGCAGGGACACACACUGAGUGGGUGCACAAGACUUCCCUGACCCGCAGGGACACACACUGCUGAGCUCAGAAGCAUGUUCAUGUCUUCAAAACUCCCUUGUGAGCCAUGUGGCAUCUUAUGUUGGCCUAGAGAUUUCUACUGCUUUUAUAGGACUAAACAGAACACUCAAAAAAUCCAACGUAGGGAUCAAUCCAACUGUAUCAAUAAUAAGUGAACAUCAGGCCGGGCACGGUGGCUCAUGCCUGUAAUCCCAGCACUUUGGGAGGCCGAGGCGGGCGGAUCACCUGAGGUUGGGAGUUCCAGACCUGCUUGGCCAACAUGGCAAAACCCCAUCUCUACUAAAAUUACAAAAUUAGCCGGGCGUGGUGGUGCAUGCCUGUAAUCCCAGCUACUCGGGAGGUGGAGGUUGCAGUGAGCCGAGAUCACGCCACUGCACUCCAGCCUGGGCAACAAGAACGAAACUCUGUUUCAAAAAAACAAAAACAAACAAAACUAAAGACCUAAACAUCAAUGGUCUCCAUGUGCCAAUUACAAGACAGCGUCAGAGAGGAUCCAAGACACCACCCAAGAAGACGUUGCCUCCAAGAAACCACUUUAAACAUGAGCACAUGGAUCAGAAGCGCAGGGAUGGGAGAGAUGCACGCAGCAACCGGUGCCGUGCAGGAGAUGUGGGAGCAGCUACAGCCAUCCACACAAAAGGUCAUCUCCAAUCCGAGGACGGUCAUUAUCCUCAGGCACCGGCUGUAUGCACGCGGUGCCAGGGAAGCUGUGGCAGGUGACUGGGGGAGUUGGAAACGGCCCGGUGACAGCAGAAGUGUGACCCAGCCACGCGUCUGCCACGACCCCGCACACAUGCACCGCCCGCUAACAGGCUGUGGCCAAUCGCGAGUCCAGGAGCCACGCCCAGGCUCUUGUGCUUGGGACACCAUCACAGGGGAGGUCGGCGCAAUCAGUGGCCUCGGAGGACGGGGUGAGGAGUCCCCACUGGGGAUGCCGCAGAGCCCUGCCCUCGGUGCUGUGAGCGGGUCUGGGCAGGUGCUGACCACCCCCCGGGAACUCAGCACAGCACUGACUCCCAGGAGCCUGCUCUGUGCCAGGUGAUGGUGACAGCAAGGGGACAGCAAAGGGCGGGAGGGUCCGUGUGAGACGACCUUCCCUGGGCUGUCUCAGCGCCAGGGUGUGUGAGGUGGCCCUCAGCCUGUCCAGCACCGUCCCCGGCCGCCAGGGCUCUGACGUGACCUGACACGUUGGGUGACAGCACAUGGUGCUUUGGCGAGUACUUGGUGAUCCUGUUUGUUACUGGUUCUGUUACUCUAUGCACUAUUUUUAUUUGUUUCAUUCUAAGAAACAGGAACCCCAGCCUCCCAAGGCCUGGGGACCCGCAGUGGCUCCAGCAGACCCCAGCCUCCCAAGCCCUGGGGACCCACAGUAGCUCCAGCUGCGCCAAAGGCACUCACCGGCUUGCACAGGUCCCGGUCAGUUUUCGCUUCCAUCUCCCAGACAUGGUGGCCAUCUGGAAGAAAGGAGCAGGAAACGUCUGUGACUCUGUGUGGUGGGGAGCCCCCUCCCCAGACACCCCCACGUGAUCCAGACCCAGGGCCCUGAGCCAGGAGGGCGCCUUGUCCCAGGAGACCCACGUAGGCCCAUCCCAGGGCUUUGUCGAGGGCAGCACCUCAGGAGCCACGUGCCCUGGCAGGGCCCCGAGCUCGACACCAAAGUUGCCCUGGGAGCCUGGAGAAGCUGAGGACACGCGGCUCAGGGCUUGUUCUGACCCCAGCCCGGCGUAGGAGGGACUACAGGGCAGGGGCAUCCUCAGGAAUCCGUCCUGGCCCUGCAUCUGCUGGCCUCUCACAGCCUCAGGACAGGUCACGGGAGGGUCUCUAUGCCCUCGUCCUCUCCAGGGAGAGCAGGUGUGAGGGGGAGCAGGUACCCCAUCAGCAGAGCGUGUGCAGGGCGUCUGUGCGUGGACCUGGGACCCGGCUCUGCAGUUCCCAGCCCAGCCUCCCAGGGAUGCAGGAGGUGUGAGAGUAGUGACGGGGGGCCGGGGGCUCCACGCCAGGGUGCGACGCCUGCUCGUGCUGGGGUCUACUCUGGUGGAUGAGGGCCUGGCCGCUGGCCCUGCCUGUGUGCAAAGGAACCACUGGGUAAAUGAGAAGAGCCUUCCUCUGACAACUUCUUGCCCAUCAGGAGACAGAAAUGCAAAACACGAGGUAUUUUUGGCAUUUCCCCAGUGGCCAUUUGCAUGUUUUUAAAAAAUAAAAAGGCUCCCAGAGGUGUAGUGAAAGGACGCGUUGUGCUCUCUGCUCCAGGCCUGGCAGAGUGGGGGCUCCAGGCGCACACGGACAAGGCGGCCCCACCACAGCCUGGGUGUGUGCACGGCCUGGCCCCUCAGAUGGGCUGAGUUUGGGGCAAUUAUCUCAAAUUAACAGAUGUCAAUCUCCUACAGAGUCUCUUCCUGCCUUUUAUCUUCUCCAAAAUAAAGUCUGUUCCCAAAAUGAACAGUUACAGGUAUACACACUUAAGUUUAUCCUUAUGCUCUGUCUCCAAAGAAGAAAAUGUGUGUCUGUUACAAACCCUCAAUUACUGAUAAAUCAGACAAAAUCUCCUUUUUCUCUGUUACAGUGCCGGGCUGCUGCCUGGGUGGAGGGUGGAGAGGAAAUGUGAGUCACACAGGACCCCAGAGCCGCCCAGCCAAGCCCUGGCCAUGCCAGCCCGGGAGGCCCGAGGUCCCCACGCAAAUUACCCACCAGAUGAACCCACUCGAUAGAGCCUGGCAUCCCUCUCUCCUCUAGGAAAAAAAUUACAGGAAACUAAAAAGUACACUCAGUUGCGCUUGAAGCCAUCUGAGUUUCAUGAAGCAGCAAGUCCUCCAGGCCCUGGAAAGCUCAGGAGCUGGGAAGAAAGAGGCGUUUUCACUCCAGCACAGGUGCUGAUGCCACAGGAUUCCCAGAAGCCCCCAGCCCAGAUGCACCACUCAGAAGCCCCUCCACCCCCACUUCAUAAAAAUCCAAAUCACUCUGUGUGUAACUAAGUCUUCUGGUUGUUUGGCACCUUUUGAAAAUGACUUUUGAACUUUUCUUAUGACAAAGUCCAUCUUUGGGGUGAGGCCCCGUCCACACCCCACAAAAGGCUGUGGUCCUCUGAAGCUCCCGGGCGCAACAGGCUAUAGUUUGCUUCCCGCCCAGCCCAGGAAGCUCAGAGUCACAACUUCAGCUUCCCUAGGAACUUCCCUGACGCUGUGGAGGCCUUUGGCACUGGCAAGGGGAGGGAGGUUCAGUGACUGUGCUGAGCAGGAGGGACACUGAGGCGCACACGGGGCCAGGAUGUCGCGUUUAAUGACACCCCGAGGGGACGCCAUUUUUGCAGCCGAGGCCAACACAGCCUGCUCCUCUCUUUAUGUCCCGAGAAGCAAGAGGGACUCCAGCCGUCUCCCCCGCGGCCUCCUCCAGGUGGCUGCCCCGCAGCGGUGAGUCCAUGAAAAGCAAAUGGAACGACGGCAUGGAGGCGUCUUUUCCCACCCGUGCCUCGUGGGCCUGUGGGGAACCAUCCUUGCCGGAGCGGCCCCAAGGGGAGCCACGUCUGCGUGGCCAGCCAGGCCCAGCUCAGCAGCUGCCAUGGAGCAGCCUCCACCGCACACCUGGGAGCACCCGCACCCUGCAAUUCCUGCGCAGGUGGGAGCAGAUACGCUUAGACUUCCCCUAAAAGUGCGGGGAACCGACAAACAUCCCUGCCUUCCUCAAAGACCCCGGCUGAGCCAGCGCCUGUGGCCUUCCCUCUUGGAGGUGGGGCCUCUCCCCGUGGUGUCCGACGUCUGUGGCCGUUUCAGGUCGACCAGGGUGAGGGUGAGGGCAGGCUUUCUGUUUCUGCUUAAGGAUCAUAAAGUAAUUGUCUUUCAAAAGCAAUAGUAUUCACGGCCAGAAAUGUCUAUCUAGCAAUUGCUUCCAGAACAAGACAAAGCGCCGAGACUGCUGAAAGAUGGAAAUAACCUCGCAUCUCAGGAAAGGAGACGCAGGGCCGCGUCCCGCCGGCAAGAGCAUCGCCAUGGCGGCUCCCAGCUCCGUGGAGGCCCGGACGGGCAGCGCCGGCCCCCGUGCUGUUCAAAACUCAGCCCCUGGCAGGAAGGAAGGCAGCCGGUCCUGAAAGGGCCUUUGUGUUCAGCCUUAUCAGAGCUCCGAGUCCUUAGUAGGAAACUGCCCGAGUGCAGGAGUAAAAAUAUUCCAGAUCAUUAGGGAAUUCCCUGCAGUCUGAGUCAUCGGGAGGCUUCCCUGCCACACCCGCGAGGUUUCCACACAGGCAGGCCUGCGGGCCCAGGAGCCUCCCAGACCGGCCAGGACCCGCCGCCCGGAGCCGGGCCACCCCCACGCCGGUGCUGAUGCUGAGCCACUGUUUCCACAAAGAAAGCCACGAGGGCCGCUGGUGGAAGCAGCAGCGUCCCUGGGUCCCACGGUGCCCUCGAGCCCUGCUCCCCACGGCGUCUCCUGCCCUGCUCCCCAAAGCAUCCUCGUGCCCUGCUCCCCGCGGCGUCCUCGUGCCGUGCACCCCACAGCAUCCUCAUGCCCAGAAGCGAGCGUCCCUGGGGCGUCUCAUCCAUCCCCGGCUCUCCCCCAGGAGUCUGUCCCAGCCUGGCUCCCAGAGGAGAUUCUGGAGGGGAAACAGCCACCCAGCCCUGCUGCACAUCUGCCUGCAGGGCCUCACACGGAGCCACCCUGUGACCCACAGCCCUUUCACACCGAGGCAUGUGCUCAGGAGACAGGCAGGCGUCCACACAGGACUCACGCACUGAGGUUCAUGGCGGCUUUUCCACGAUCAUCUCCACAGGGUGGACGUGGCCUAGUGCCAUCGACAGACAGGUGUGGGCAGCCACACGGUGGGCUUCCCUCAGCCACAGAAAGACCCCACGUCCCGACCUGUGCCAACGAGGGGACCUGAGGACCCUACGCCCUGACCCACACCAACGAGGGAACAUGGAGGAUGCCACGCUCCACAGAAGCUGCCAGGCACCACAGCCGGCAGGAUGGGGUUCCCCAGCAGGCCAGCAGGGAGCAGCCAGACCAGGCGAGGCCACGGCGAGGGGGCAUUGGGGUUGUCGGAGCCGGGGUGGGGGAAGGGAGAGCAGGGGUGGCCACUCAUGGGCAAGGGUUUCUUUCUGGGGACAAGAAAAUGUUCUGAAAUUGGUGGUGGCCGCAUAAUUAUGUGAAGCCACCAAAACCCACCGAAUUAUACACUUUGAGUGAAUUAAAUGGUGUAUAGAUCAUAUUUCGAUAAAGCUGAUAUAAAAAAGAAACUAGCCAACAUGA